AAUUACUGGACACUCCUCCAUCUCGUGAUAUUUUCUGUCUUCCAUAUCUCCCCAGAAGUCGCUGGACAUCUCCUAAAUAAUCCUCAGCCGUUACUUCUGCUAGUCCGUGCCAUGCUUAUACUGGUGAUCAAGAUGCCUAUGUCUCCACCACCGUCGCUCAGCUGCUUGCCUCUAUGUUGGCUGGCCGGAUCUACUGUCCGACGCGCCACUGUUUGCGCUGUGCUUAAGGUCCUACUCACCGGUCUUCUCGUCGACAGUGCCAGUCGUGUCUCCCGCUACGCUGACACUUUUUCUCCAUCGCUCGACUCCAUGCUCAGCGCUCUCACCAUCACCGCGCCUCUCUUCGCCGGUGUUCGCCGGGCAUACGCUCAACCUCGCCACCGUGGGACUUACCUCGCCUUCAAACCGUGUUCGCCGCAGCCCAGCCAUCGUCUACCUCUACGCUCAGCACGAAACCGCUCGCCCUACAGCCUCGUCGCGUCACCAUUCUGCAGGCACUGAGCUCCACCCACCUCGGUGAAGGCCACCGUCCCCUUUUUCACUGUGCACUCGGCAUCAGCUUCCUGGUGCACACCGACACAACGCUCUGGUCGUGCGCCCUCCAUCGCACGCUCAGACACUUGCCCCUGUUCGUCACCUCGGGACUUUGCCGUCACCCGUACUUCGUUGGUUGUCAACUUUGCUGGCUGUGUUCGACCUCCAGCCAUGUCACCAUCGUGCCCUUCAUUCGUUCGAAGGAGAAGUUUUAUUCCCUUAUCUUUGGGUAAGUUACUUCAUGUGGAGGACUUGAAGCUUAGAAGGUUUUUAUAUAUCUCUUAUGGAAAGGCUUCACCCUUCCAAUUAUUGUAAUAAGUUAUGCACUUUGAGUACUAUCAAGACUUGUAAUAAAUACAUCUCAUUCUACCAUGUAAAACUUGAGUUCUGGAA